rnacentral:rRNA from 1 species
UGAGUAAUGUCUGGGAAACUGCCCGAUGGAGGGGGAUAACUACUGGAAACGGUAGCUAAUACCGCAUAACGUCUUCGGACCAAAGUGGGGGACCUUCGGGCCUCACACCAUCGGAUGUGCCCAGAUGGGAUUAGCUAGUAGGUGGGGUAAUGGCUCACCUAGGCGACGAUCCCUAGCUGGUCUGAGAGGAUGACCAGCCACACUGGAACUGAGACACGGUCCAGACUCCUACGGGAGGCAGCAGUGGGGAAUGUUGCACAAUGGGCGCAAGCCUGAUGCAGCCAUGCCGCGUGUAUGAAGAAGGCCUUCGGGUUGUAAAGUACUUUCAGUGGGGAGGAAGGCGUUAAGGUUAAUAACCUUGGCGAUUGACGUUACCCGCAGAAGAAGCACCGGCUAACUCCGUGCCAGCAGCCGCGGUAAUACGGAGGGUGCAAGCGUUAAUCGGAAUUACUGGGCGUAAAGCGCACGCAGGCGGUCUGUCAAGUCGGAUGUGAAAUCCCCGGG